CCUGUUCGGUGCAGCGCGCACGACAGGAUGGAAUGUGGCCUGUGCGGUCGGGACCGCACGGCUGAACCACCAA
rfam:Halococcus hamelinensis 100A6 contig_14, whole genome shotgun sequence.